AUUGAACGCUGGCGGCAUGCUUUACACAUGCAAGUCGAACGGUAACAGGCCGCAAGGUGCUGACGAGUGGCGAACGGGUGAGUAAUGCAUCGGAACGUGCCCAGUCGUGGGGGAUAACUACUCGAAAGAGUAGCUAAUACCGCAUACGAUCUAUGGAUGAAAGCGGGGGACCGUAAGGCCUCGCGUGAUUGGAGCGGCCGAUGUCAGAUUAGGUAGUUGGUGGGGUAAAGGCUCACCAAGCCAACGAUCUGUAGCUGGUCUGAGAGGACAACCAGCCACACUGGGACUGAGACACGGCCCAGACUCCUACGGGAGGCAGCAGUGGGGAAUUUUGGACAAUGGGCGCAAGCCUGAUCCAGCAAUGCCGCGUGCAGGAAGAAGGCCUUCGGGUUGUAAACUGCUUUUGUACGGAACGAAACGGCUCUGGUUAAUACCCGGGGCUAAUGACGGUACCGUAAGAAUAAGCACCGGCUAACUACGUG
rnacentral:rRNA from 1 species